rnacentral:rRNA from 1 species
AGUCGAGCGAGUCUGCCUUGAAGAUCGGAGUGCUUGCACUCUGUGAAACAAGAUACAGGCUAGCGGCGGACGGGUGAGUAACACGUGGGUAACCUGCCCAAGAGAUCGGGAUAACACCUGGAAACAGAUGCUAAUACCGGAUAACAACAGAUGAUGCCUAUCAACUGUUUAAAAGAUGGUUCUGCUAUCACUCUUGGAUGGACCUGCGGUGCAUUAGCUAGUUGGUAGGGUAACGGCCUACCAAGGCGAUGAUGCAUAGCCGAGUUGAGAGACUGAUCGGCCACAUUGGGACUGAGACACGGCCCAAACUCCUACGGGAGGCAGCAGUAGGGAAUCUUCCACAAUGGACGCAAGUCUGAUGGAGCAACGCCGCGUGAGUGAAGAAGGGUUUCGGCUCGUAAAGCUCUGUUGUUGGUGAAGAAGGACAGGGGUAGUAACUGACCUUUGUUUGACGGUAAUCAAUUAGAAAGUCACGGCUAACUACGUGCCAGCAGCCGCGGUAAUACGUAGGUGGCAAGCGUUGUCCGGAUUUAUUGGGCGUAAAGCGAGUGCAGGCGGCUCGAUAAGUCUGAUGUGAAAGCCUUCGGCUCAACCGGAGAAUUGCAUCAGAAACUGUCGAGCUUGAGUACAGAAGAGGAGAGUGGAACUCCAUGUGUAGCGGUGAAAUGCGUAGAUAUAUGGAAGAACACCGGUGGCGAAGGCGGCUCUCUGGUCUGUUACUGACGCUGAGGCUCGAAAGCAUGGGUAGCGAACAGGAUUAGAUACCCUGGUAGUCCAUGCCGUAAACGAUGAGUGCUAAGUGUUGGGAGGUUUCCGCCUCUCAGUGCUGCAGCUAACGCAUUA